rnacentral:rRNA from 1 species
ACACGUAAGGGGCAAGCGUUGUUCGGAAUUAUUGGGCGUAAAGGGCGCGUAGGCGGUUUUACAAGUCUGGUGUGAAAGACCUCAGCUUAACUGAGGGACCGCGCUGGAAACUGUAAGACUCGAAUCUAGGAGGGGAAGCUGGAAUUCCUGGUGUAGGGGUGAAAUCUGUAGAUAUCAGGAAGAACACCGGUGGCGAAGGCGAGCUUCUGGCCAUAGAUUGACGCUGAGGCGCGAAAGCGUGGGGAGCGAACAGGAUUAGAAACCCUAGUAGUCC